rnacentral:rRNA from 1 species
GGAUUAGAUACCCUGGUAGUCCACGCUGUAAACGAUGAGUACUAGGUGUCGCGGGUAUUGACCCCUGCAGUGCCGCAGCUAACGCAUUAAGUACUCCGCCUGGGGACUACGGCCGCAAGGUUAAAACUCAAAGGAAUUGACGGGGGCCCGCACAAGCGGUGGAGCAUGUGGUUCAAUUCGACGCAACGCGAAGAACCUUACCUGGACUAGACAACGGUGGACCGCCCCAGAGAUGGGGCUUUCCCUUCGGGGACCGCCGGUUCAGGUGCUGCAUGGCUGUCGUCAGCUCGUGCCG